rnacentral:rRNA from 1 species
CAGGAUGAACGCUGGCGGCGCGCUUAACACAUGCAAGUCGAACGGUUAAAGCACCUCCGGGUGUGCAUAAAGUGGCGAACGGCUGAGUAACACGUGGGCAACCUGCCCCCCACACCGGGACAGCCCCGGGAAACUGGGAGUAAUACCGGAUACUCCCUCCCCGUCGCAUGGCGGGGAGGGGAAAGCGUAUGCGGUGGGGGAUGGGCCCGCGGCCUGUUAGCUCGUUGGCGGGGUAACGGCCCACCAAGGCUAUUAUGGGUAGCCGGGUUGAGAGACCGACCGGCCAGAUUGGGACUGAGACACGGCCCAGACUCCUACGGGAGGCAGCAGUGGGGAAUCUUGCACAAUGGGCGAAAGCCUGAUUGCAGCGACGCCGCGUGCGGGACGAAGGCCCUCGGGUUGUAAACCGCUUUCAGCAGGGACGAGGCGCAAGUGACGGUACCUGCAGAAGAAGCCCCGGCUAACUACGUGCCAGCCGCGGC